AUUAAAUGGGAAAGGACCGGAGGAUGUGAAAAGAGCCGAGGAUCUUGUGAUGACACAACAACCUCCUCUUCAUCAUUCUUAAAAACCCCUUAGCCAUGGGAGAUAUUAUGAGAUUAUAAAUACAACCACCUCCUCUCUCUCUCGAUUCAUCUAUUCAUGAUAUAAUAUCAUUCAUACAACAUAGAAGAAAUCAGUCAAAAUGAAGUCGGGCUUCAUCCUUGGACUUCUCCUCCUCCAUUUCGUUGUCGCAGGGUACAGUUCGGGCAUCCCAACAAAUCCAGAGUCCAAGGAGGAGGGAGAAGCAUAUGGGAGGGAAUCGACAAUACCAGACUGCAGCCAUGCGUGUGGGGGAUGCGAGCCAUGCAAGCUCGUCAUGGUCAGCUUCAAGUGCUCGGCCGCAGAGUCAUGCCCUGUCGUCUACAGAUGCAUGUGCCAUGGCCACUACUUCCACGUCCCUUCCCAAGCCUGACCGGAAUGUCGAUUCUUCAAACAAUUACAAGACCUUUCAAGCGUUUCUUCUCAUGUAUUUCUACCUCCCCUCGAAUCGUAUCAAUUGAGAAUGCGUUUAUUU